rnacentral:misc_RNA from 1 species
AAGCAAGCCAAAUCUAAUAGAAAUACCACAUAAAAGCCAAUUCAAGAAGAACAUUCAAAACUCCUUGCAAAGGCCAAUAAUGUUUGUCAGUUAUGAUUUUUCAUCAAUCUUCUUCCUAUACAAGCCAAUAUAUUGAUGGCAACUUUUGCAUGAUUUGGAUGCUCCUUACAGUCCAACAAGUUCUGUGCCUCAUAUUUGUGAACCUAGUUAAUUUCUUAGUUCAAGUCAAAAGUUUUUACCAAAUUUUCACAAAUGACUGUAAGAAAAAUGAAUCUAUAAUUUUUCUCAAAGACCCUUGUCCUCGAGUAGCAUGCUGCAAAUUUAUUCUUUCACACACAUAAAUAGUAAAUGCAUAAGUAUAAACUAUUAAAGGUAAUGCAUUCACUAAAGGGAGUAGCUAGCAACCAACCCAUCUUCAAAUAUUUUUAAUUCAACUAAAAAUCUGACCUAGAUUUAUCAACAAUAAAUUACACAGUAGUAUCAUUCAUUUAAAUUAAAACAAAAAUGCUAUUCUUGCAAAUAAGCCAAUCAACCUCAUUCUGUUUGGAUUGUACCAGCCGCAACUAGCAUACUUGAAAAAAAAAAGUUUUGUAUAAGGUUAACAAACUCAAUAAAGGAAUUCACAAGACUCAAUUUAUUUACUUCAAUCAAGUUAUCAACUGGCAGAAAGCAUCAAGGUUUCUUUUAGCUGUAACUGUACAUAUCCAGACUAGUGCCUCAUCUUUUUAAAAUCAUUUCAUAAUGAUAAAUCAUAAUGUGACAAGUGAUUAGCAUCUGGUGCUUUAGUAAGAACCAUUUAUCACCCCUAUUCUUUCUUUUCUGUGAUUAUAACAAAAGUACAAUUACCACCUUGUUUCUAUAAGAUGAUGCAUCUUACCUUACGCACAUCCUACCUUAUGAAUAAAAAAGCCAGCAGAAACGAUUUAAGUAACACUCAGAUUUUAAAAGACAGGGUACAUUUCUGUUUGGAAUCGAGGUUAGGAUUACUUUUCAAAUGGGGAAAAAACCUUUUGAAUGUUGUUGCACCUAGCAUUUUGAGACUAUGUUUUUAACUGUUUUGGAGUUUGUAUGAUUGGAAAAUAUCAAAAUAUCAAAAACUAAAUCAAAAACCAAAAGCAUUUCAUUUAAUCAGUAAUUUAAAGAUCGUGCUUUUCUCAACCUAGUUACAACAACAAUGCCAAAUAGGGAAUCUAGGCAUUUCAAUUGCCAACUUAAAAAAAUAAAAAUAAAAAUCUGGAAAACAAAGAUUACUGAGAAUCAUGCAAAUUCUUAAUCAAUCUUCACUCAAAGAAAUAAUUAGGAAUUCUAAAACGCAUUGAUUUCACAAUAACUGAUACCAAUCAAGAAACAUUUUACACAAUUACUGUACCUUGGAAGGAUCAUAAGCAGUUU